AGUGAACGCUGGCGGUAGGCCUAACACAUGCAAGUCGAACGGCAGCACAGUAAGAGCUUGCUCUUACGGGUGGCGAGUGGCGGACGGGUGAGGAAUACAUCGGAAUCUACUUUUUCGUGGGGGAUAACGUAGUGAAACUUACGCUAAUACCGCAUACGACCUACGGGUGAAAGCAGGGGAUCUUCGGACCUUGCGCGAUUGGAUGAGCCGAUGUCGGAUUAGCUAGUUGGCGGGGUAAAGGCCCACCAAGGCGACGAUCCGUAGCUGGUCUGAGAGGAUGAUCAGCCACACUGGAACUGAGACACGGUCCAGACUCCUACGGGAGGCAGCAGUGGGGAAUAUUGGACAAUGGGCGCAAGCCUGAUCCAGCCAUACCGCGUGGGUGAAGAAGGCCUUCGGGUUGUAAAGCCCUUUUGUUGGGAAAGAAAAGCAGCAGGUUAAUACCCCGCUGUUCUGACGGUACCCAAAGAAUAAGCACCGGCUAACUUCGUG
rnacentral:rRNA from 1 species